AGUGAACGCUGGCGGUAGGCCUAACACAUGCAAGUCGAACGGCAGCACAGUAAGAGCUUGCUCUUACGGGUGGCGAGUGGCGGACGGGUGAGGAAUACAUCGGAAUCUACUUUUUCGUGGGGGAUAACGUAGGGAAACUUACGCUAAUACCGCAUACGACCUACGGGUGAAAGCAGGGGAUCUUCGGACCUUGCGCGAUUGAAUGAGCCGAUGUCGGAUUAGCUAGUUGGCGGGGUAAAGGCCCACCAAGGCGACGAUCCGUAGCUGGUCUGAGAGGAUGACAGGCCCAACUGGAACUGGGCCACGGUCCAGACUCCUACGGGAGGCAGCAGUGGGGAAUAUUGGACAAUGGGGGCAAGCCUGAUCCAGCCAUACCGGGUGGGUGAAGAAGGCCUUCGGGUUGUAAAGCCCUUUUGUUGGGAAAGAAAGCAGCAGGUUAAUACCCCGCUGUUCUGACGGUACCCAAAGAAUAAGCACCGGCUAACUUCGUG
rnacentral:rRNA from 1 species